GCCGACUGUCCGUUAAUCUCAGCCGUUCCAGCCCCACUUCUCCCUCUUCCUCAUCUGUUAACAUCUACUUCUGUGCUGCCCAAAGGCACAGUGGUGACGAGCACACAAAGCGAUGAGUGCUUGGAAUGGGGCGUCCUGAGCGGAGCUGUGCUUUCACAUCAGGAAAAUAAGAAGUUCGGAGCCCACCUUGUCAUGGUCCUUCCAGUGCAGCAAGUGUGUCUUUGGACCCACCAUGAGAGAGAGAACGCGUGAGCACUUCACACUCAGCGCAGAGACCGAUGCCACAACCAAGAGAUCAUGACCUUGGGCCAAAAUCAAGAGUCAGACGCUCACACAACUGAGCCACUCAGGUGCCCCUAAUUGAUCACCUUUAACAGUACUUAAUAGAUGUUUAUUUUCUUCUAUGA